UAAGACAGAGGUGGCAAGCGUUGUUCGGAAUUACUGGGCUUAAAGGGCGCGUAGGUGGUGGCAUAAGUCCGGGGUGGAAGGCUAAGGCUUAACCUUAGAAUUGCCCUGGAAACUGUAUCACUUGAGUCAGCGAGGGGAUGGCGGAAUUCCUGGUGUAGCGGUGAAAUGCGUAGAUAUCAGGAGGAAGGCCGGUGGCGAAGGCGGCCAUCUGGCGCUGAACUGACACUGAGGCGCGAAAGCGUGGGGAGCAAACAGGAUUAGAUACCCUGGUAGUCCACGCCCUAAACGGUGGGUACUAGGUGUAGGGCUCGUAAGGGUUCUGUGCCGAAGGGAAACCAUUAAGUACCCCGCCUGGGGAGUACGGCCGCAAGGUUGAAACUCAAAUGAAUUGACGG
rnacentral:rRNA from 1 species